GGGGGGAGAGAAGAGAGAGGAUGUAAGAUGAAGCCUGUUUGGGGGAAUUUCCAGGGCAGAUGUGGGGGGCGGCACUCACCACUUCACUUCCUUUACCCGUCAUAACAGAAAAGUAUGAACUAGGCAGUCUUUAACUGUUCUUGUGAGGACUCCCAGUCGUGGGUCUUCAGUGCCACAGCUGGGCCUGACCGCGUGUGCACCACCACCACCCCAUCAAUUUGUCAUGCUCUCCUCAUCCUGAUCUGUAUCAUCUCAUCCAAUGUCAGCCUGUUAACCAGGUCGUCCAGCCGCUCCUCCCAAGGCAAUGUGGGGUCCCUGAAAGGGAAGUCCUGGCCCAUGCACAGCCCAGCCACCAGCAGUAGGACGAUGAUGUGGAGAAAGGCCAUCGCUUUCGGUACAGGAGAGAGGAAACAAAUAUGAGCACCACCAAGGACAACAAUCACACCCUCCAAAGAAGGACCCCUUUUCCUUGAAUGGCAUCGUGGAUGAGAACACAAAAUGGUGGUGCGCUGAAAGUCGACAGAACCAUCCGUCCGGUGCUGGAUUACAGUCCAUCCACCUCCACUGGUCUCCAUGUCGCAGAGGACCUGCAAGGAGUGCAGUACAUUAAUGGCAGGGAAACUUCACAAAUGUCCACAAGCUGCAGCUGGGCCUGAGGUUCCUCAGCUGUGCCCUAAGGGACAACAACUCUUCCAAUUCUGCAUCAUCCAUUAACACCUCAUGUUCAGAGCUGGACAAAGAACCCAUAGAUUGUG